rnacentral:rRNA from 1 species
GACGAACGCUGGCGGCGUGCCUAAUACAUGCAAGUAGAACGCACAGUUUAUACCGUAGCUUGCUACAUCAUAGACUGUGAGUUGCGAACGGGUGAGUAACGCGUAGGUAACCUGCCUGGUAGCGGGUGAUAACUAUUGGAAACGAUAGCUAAUACCGCAUAAUAUUAAUUAUUGCAUGAUAAUUAAUUGAAAUGUGCAAUUGCACCACUACCAGAUCGACCUGCGUUGUAUUAGCUAGUAGGUGAGGUAACGGCUCACCUAAGCGAAGAUACAUAGCCGACCUGGGGGGGUGGUCGGCCAAAAUGGGAAUGAGAAACGGCCCAGGCCCCCUCCGGGAGGAGCAAGAAGGGAAUCUUGGGAAAGGAGGGAAGGCUGGACGAGCAAAGGCGGGUGGGGGAAGGAGGGUCUCGGAUCCGAAAGAUUUGUUGUAAGGGGAGGAAGAGUGUUGGAAGGGACAGUGCACACUGUGACGGUACCUUAUCAGAAAGCGACGGCUAACUACGUG